rnacentral:lncRNA from 1 species
AAUGUGGAAUCCUAACUACUGGAUCACCAGAGAAUAUCCUAUAACUCAUCGAUUUAAAAUGGCAUUAUCAAUAGUAAAGUAUAAAGUCAAAUGAAAGUUUUCUAAACUAUAAAUAACAAACACAAAUUUUGAUAAACUAUGCUAGAAGGAAGAUUGAAUUACCUUUCUAUUCUCUCUAUUGAAAAUUUUUACUUCUUUUGGUGAUCAAAAAGUAUGCACUCAAAAUGAAAAAAAAAAAGUAUUUUAGAGAUAUGUCAGGCUGUUAAUAAAGUAUUAUGCUUUGGGGGGGGUGGUUUGUAAUGUUUUUAUGGUACUUUUUUGAUUAAUCAAGUUUGUAAGUUGUGAUUUUUUUACCAUUGUAAACAAAGAUUGAUUUUUAUACUUAAGUGUGUGUUCUUUUCCUUAUAGAGACAGUGGAAAGUAUACAUAUAAGCUUCAAAUCCCGCAAAAUUGGGAUCCACUCUAAGCAAGCUCACUGCCUGCCUACCCUGCCAUAAUUCCUUGAUUUCUUGGAAACAGCCAUGUCCUACAGCUGUAGAGAAGUCCCGUCAACAUUUACCUUUCAUAAACAGGCAUCCAGUGGGUUCAGUGUCCUUCAGCUUAGUGUACCAGCUAGAGUAGUUGACAACUGUUUAUGAGAAAACUGUCAAGCAGUUCAUGUUCUAGUUAUCACUCAAAAAAAUACCUUUAAAAAAGAAGGGGAAACA